GACGAACGCUGGCGGCGUGCUUAACACAUGCAAGUCGAACGGAAAGGCCCAGCUUGCUGGGUACUCGAGUGGCGAACGGGUGAGUAACACGUGGGUGAUCUGCCCUGCACUCUGGGAUAAGCCUGGGAAACUGGGUCUAAUACCGGAUAUGACCAACUGUCGCAUGGUGGUUGGUGGAAAGCUUUUGCGGUGUGGGAUGGGCCCGCGGCCUAUCCGCUUGUUGGUGGGGUAAUGGCCUACCAAGGCGACGACGGGUAGCCGACCUGAGAGGGUGAUCGGCCACACUGGGACUGAGACACGGCCCAGACUCCUACGGGAGGCAGCAGUGGGGAAUAUUGCACAAUGGGCGCAAGCCUGAUGCAGCGACGCCGCGUGAGGGAUGACGGCCUUCGGGUUGUAAACCUCUUUCACCAGGGACGAAGCGUGAGUGACGGUACCUGGAGAAGAAGCACCGGCCAACUACGUG
rnacentral:rRNA from 1 species